ACCCGCUGAACUUAAGCAUAUCAAUAAGCGGAGGAAAAGAAACCAACAGGGAUUGCCUCAGUAACGGCGAGUGAAGCGGCAACAGCUCAAAUUUGAAAUCUCAGGUAUUCUACUUGCGAGUUGUAAUUUGAAGAGGAUGUUUCGGUUGUGACCUUGGCCUAAGUUCCUUGGAACAGGACGUCGUAGAGGGUGAGAAUCCCGUACACGGCUGUAGGUUUACUUCCAUGUGUAACUCCUUCGAAGAGUCGAGUUGUUUGGGAAUGCAGCUCAAAAUGGGUGGUAAAUUUCAUCUAAAGCUAAAUACUGGCGAGAGACCGAUAGCGCACAAGUAGAGUGAUCGAAAGAUGAAAAGCACUUUGAAAAGAGAGUUAAACAGUACGUGAAAUUGUUGAAAGGGAAGCGUUUGCAAUCAGACUUGCUUUCGGUUGAUCAACGUUCCUUCUGGUUCGUGCACUCUGCCGUUCGCAGGCCAGCAUCGGUUAGGACGGUGGGACAAAGACUCAAGGAAUGUGGCAUCCUUCGGGGUGUGUUAUAGCCUUGUGUGUAAUGCCACCUGACCUGACCGAGGUCCGCGCUUUUGCUAGGAUGCUGGCGUAAUGGUUGUAAACGACCCGUCUUGAAACACGG
rnacentral:rRNA from 1 species